rfam:Cricetulus griseus cell line CHO-K1, whole genome shotgun sequence.
AUACUUACCUGGUAGGGGAGAUACCAUGAUCACAGAGGUGGUUUUCCCAGGGUGGAGCUUAUCCAUUUCAUUAUGGAUGUGCUGACCCCUGUGAUUUCUACAAAUGUGAGAAACUCAACUGCAUAAUUUGUGGUAGUGGGGAACUGCGCUCACAAUCUCUCC